rnacentral:rRNA from 2 species
UACGGAGGGAGCUAGCGUUGUUCGGAAUUACUGGGCGUAAAGCGCACGUAGGCGGUUACUCAAGUCAGAGGUGAAAGCCCGGGGCUCAACCCCGGAACUGCCUUUGAAACUAGGUAACUAGAAUCCUGGAGAGGUGAGUGGAAUUCCGAGUGUAGAGGUGAAAUUCGUAGAUAUUCGGAAGAACACCAGUGGCGAAGGCGGCUCACUGGACAGGUAUUGACGCUGAGGUGCGAAAGCGUGGGGAG